rnacentral:rRNA from 1 species
UACGUAGGGGGCAAGCGUUAUCCGGAAUUACUGGGUGUAAAGGGAGCGUAGACGGUAAUGUAAGUCUGGAGUGAAAGGCGGGGGCCCAACCCCCGGACUGCACUGGAAACUAUGUUACUAGAGUGCAGGAGAGGUAAGCGGAAUUCCUAGUGUAGCGGUGAAAUGCGUAGAUAUUAGGAGGAACACCAGUGGCGAAGGCGGCUUACUGGACUGUAACUGACGUUGAGGCUCGAAAGCGUGGGGAGCAAACAGG